GGAAGUAAAAGUCGUAACAAGGUUUCCGUAGGUGAACCUGCGGAAGGAUCAUUACCUAGAGUUGCGGGCUUUGCCUGCCAUCUCUUACCCAUGUCUUUUGAGUACCUUCGUUUCCUCGGCGGGUCCGCCCGCCGACUGGACAAAACUUAAACCCUUUGUAAUUGAAAUCAGCGUCUGAAAAAACUUAAUAGUUACAACUUUCAACAACGGAUCUCUUGGUUCUGGCAUCGAUGAAGAACGCAGCGAAAUGCGAUAAGUAGUGUGAAUUGCAGAAUUCAGUGAAUCAUCGAAUCUUUGAACGCACAUUGCGCCCCUUGGUAUUCCAUGGGGCAUGCCUGUUCGAGCGUCAUUUGUACCUUCAAGCUCUGCUUGGUGUUGGGUGUUUGUCUCGCCUCUGCGCGCAGACUCGCCUCAAAACAAUUGGCAGCCGGCGUAUUGAUUUCGGAGCGCAGUACAUCUCGCGCUUUGCACUCAUAACGACGACGUCCAAAAAGUACAUUUUUUACACUCUUGACCUCGGAUCAGGUAGGGAUACCCGCUGAACUUAAGCAUAUCAAUAAGCGGAGGA
rnacentral:rRNA from 2 species